GGUUCCGACCCAGGCGGCCGGCGCCCCCAGCCUUAACUGGCCAGGACGCCCGGCUAAGUGCCCGCCAGUAUACAAAACUCAAGAAUUCAUUUUGUGAAGUCCUGAUAUAUCAUUUAAUUGAUUAAAACUUUCAACAACGGAUCUCUUGGUUCUGGCAUCGAUGAAGAACGCAGCGAAAUGCGAUAAGUAAUGUGAAUUGCAGAAUUCAGUGAAUCAUCGAAUCUUUGAACGCACAUUGCGCCCUCUGGUAUUCCGGAGGGCAUGCCUGUUCGAGCGUCAUUUCAACCCUCAAGCUCUGCUUGGUAUUGGGCAACGUCCGCUGCCGGACGUGCCUUGAAGACCUCGGCGACGGCGUCCUAGCCUCGAGCGUAGUAGUAAAAUAUCUCGCUUUGGAGUGCUGGGCGACGGCCGCCGGACAAUCGACCUUCGGUCUAUUUUUCCAAGGUUGACCUCGGAUCAGGUAGGGAUACCCGCUGAACUUAAGCAUAUCAAUAAGCGGAGGA
rnacentral:rRNA from 1 species